GUCGGAGUGGCGGAAUUGGUAGACGCGCUAGGUUGAGGGCCUAGUGGGGUUAAUCGCCCCGUAGGAGUUCAAGUCUCCUCUCCGACACCA
rnacentral:tRNA from 1 species